UGUCUUCACUUCGCAGGCCACUGUCCAGGCUCCUCUGUCAUCUUGCAUUCUAGUUCUUACAAGUUACGCCAAGGAAAUAAUUAUAGAAAAGAAGAAGAAGAAGAAGAAGAAGAAGUAGAGUAUUGUCAGGAUGGAGAGUUUGCUUAUACCAGUCAUCUCAACGCCCCAGAAACUAAAUCUGAACAAACAAGACACUCCGUCAAUAUGCUCAUCCAAACCCGCCAAAUCGUCUGUUCCCUUCACCAAAAAGCUCCACUGUAAAAUUUCAGAUUCACAUUUGAAUUACCUUUGCCAAAACGGUCGCUUAAGUGAGGCCGUAACAGCUCUUGAAUCCAUAGCUCAACAUGGGUUCAAGGUAAGAUCCAAAACCUUCAUUAAUUUAAUUCAGUCCUGCAUUGAUUCCAAUUCUGCUAGUCUGGGCCGCAAGGUCCAUGCCCAUAUUAAUUUGGUUGAAGAAAAAACCCCAUUUCUUGAGACCAAGUUAGUCAGUAUGUAUGCUAAAUGUGGGUUUUUAAGCGAUGCGCGUAAAUGCUUUGAUGAAAUGCGGGAGAGAAACUUGUAUGCGUGGUCUGCGAUGAUUGGUGCGUUCUCCAGAGAGCACAUGUGGAAGGAAGUUGUCGAGUUCUUUUAUCUGAUGAUGCAGUCGAAUUGUGUACCUGAUGGGUUUUUGUUACCUAAGAUAUUACAGGCGUGUGGUAAUUGUAGGGAUGUUAAGACAGGGGAACUAGUACAUUCUUUGGCUGUUAAAUGUGGAGUAGAUAGUUACCCAUUUGUUAAUAAUUCGAUUUUGGCUUUGUAUGCAAAGGGUAGGAAGUUGAGUUUGGCGAGAAGGUGUUUUGAGAGCAUGGAUAAAAGAAAUAAAGUGGCUUGGAAUGCUAUGAUAUCAGGGUAUUGCAAAAAUGGUGAUAUCGAGGAAGCUCAAAGAUUAUUUGAUGCAAUGUGUGAGGAAGGGAUCGAGCCAUGUUUAGUAACUUGGAAUUUAUUGAUAGCUGGUUAUAACCAGAUAGGAUAUUGUGACGUUGCAAUGGAAUUGAUGAAGAAGAUGGAGAGUUUUGGCGUAAGCCCAGAUGUCGUCACCUGGACUUCUAUGAUUUCGGGGUUUGCUCAAAACAAUCGAACAAAUAAGGCAUUGGAUAUGUUCAAUGAGAUGGUUUUGACAGGGGUUGAACUCAAUGGAGUUACAAUUGGCAGUGUGAUUUCAGCGUGUACAUCUUUAAAAGCGUUAGAUGAAGGGUUAGAAAUUCACGCACUUGCUUUUAAGAUGGGUUUUGUUGACGAUGUUCUAGUUGGGAAUUCACUAAUUGACAUGUACUCGAAGUGUGGGAAACUGGAAGCUGCUUGGAAGGUAUUUGAAAUGAUGCCGGAGAAAGAUAUUUAUAGUUGGAAUUCAAUGAUUGGAGGAUAUUGUCAAGCUGGAUAUUGUGGUAAAGCCUAUGUUCUUUUUAUGAAAAUGCCAAAAUCUGAUGUACAGCCUAAUGUCAUUACUUGGAAUAAUAUGAUCUCGGCAUAUAUUCAAAAUGGAGAUGAUGAUCGCGCCAUGGAUUUGUUUCACAGGAUGGAAAAGGAUGGUAAAAUCAAACGUGAUACUGCAUCAUGGAACUCUCUUAUUUCAGGUUAUUUGAAAAUGGGACAAAAAGACAAGUCAAUUAGCAUAUUUCGACAAAUGCAAUCUUGUAGUGUUAGUUCAAAUUCUGUUACCAUUCUAAGUGUCUUACCUGCUUGUGCAAGUUUAGUUGCUUUGAAAAAGGUAAAAGAGAUUCAUGGUUGUGUAUUGCGCAGAAAUCUAGAACCCGUACUCUCUAUUAGAAAUUCGCUGAUUGACACAUAUGUCAAAUCAGGGAAUAUAGGAUAUUCAAGAACCAUAUUUGGUAGAAUGUUGUCCAAAGAUUUCAUCACCUGGAACUCAAUGAUAGCUGGUUAUGUUCUACAUGGUUAUUCAGAUGCUGCACUUGAUCUUGUUAAUCAGAUGCAAAAGCUGGGACUUAAGCCAAACAGAAGCACUUUUGUGAGUAUUAUCCUUGCACACUGUCUUACUGGAAUGGUGGAUAAAGGGGAGCGAGCUUUCUCUAGCAUGACGGGAGACUAUCAAAUUGUGCCAUCUUUAGAACAUUAUGCAGCUAUGGUCCAUUUGUACGGUCGUUCUGGUAAGCUCACAGAGGCAAUGGAAUUUAUUGAGGAUAUGCCAAUUGAGCCUGAUUUUUCUGUGUGGUCUGCCUUACUGAAUGCCUCUUUGAAUCAUGGCAAUUUUGGGUUGGCAAUCCAGGCGGGGGAAAAUUUACUUGCCUUGGAACCAGGGAACCGUUUGAUCCACCAGUUAGUUUUACAGGCAUACACUUUAUGUGAGAAACCUCAAGAUGCGUCAAACGAGAAAAGGCUUGAGAAAGAUACCAAAGUACUGAAGCUUAUUGGACACAGCUGGAUCGAAGUAAAAAACGUUGUGCAUUAUUUUGUUGCAGGUGAUAGGUCUAAAUCAUGCUCAGAGAUUCUAUUUUCUUGGGUUGAGAGCAUAUCAAAAGAAGUGAAGGGAAGUGAUCUGCCUCUUGGGUCUUGCAUUGAGGAGGAAGAGAAGGAAGAAAUUAUAGGUGUACAUAGUGAAAAACUUGCAAUUGCCUUCGCCUUUGUUUGUGCACCUUCUGUACCUCGAAGCAUAAGAAUUGUUAAAAACCUGAGUAUGUGUGUAGACUGCCAUAGGAUGGCUAAAUAUCUCUCUAAGAUGUAUGGAUGUGAAAUAUAUUUGAGCGACUCAAAGUGCCUCCACCAUUUUAAAUCUGGUCAUUGUUCCUGUGGCGAUUAUUGGUAGAAUGCAAAAUGAUAGCUAUACAUAUGUGAACUGGUUUCAAUAUUUGUUCUGGUGAGUACUCAGUGGCUCAUCUGAGGGCUCUGGAUAUUGUUCAAGCUGCUAUGGAUCAUGCCACUCCUUCUAGUUUCAGAAGAUUCAUACAAUGUCAAUCUUAUUGAUCCAAAAUAUAUACUUGACAGUUGUUGCCGAAAAGAUAUUCUUGAAUAGGCAUGUCAAUCCUGUUGACAGGAUUAAAAAGUGUAAUGUGCUAGGCUUAAAUGACAUUAGUCUGCGGGCAGUUUGUCUGCCAGUGAAUUGACAAAGCAUUAGUGAUAAGCUUGUUGAUUCAGGGGAUAUACUAAAUAAGAUGCAGCAAAUGCAAAACUUCUAUACAGAAGAAAAUUUCAUUUUCUUAUGAAUCAUCAGAAUUCAUAGGAAGGCCUUAGUUAUUCUACAACGUGAAGAUCUAAAUAACUGAAUUAAUUAAAGAAUACCAUAAGAAGGGAGCGUGAGCGUGUAUCUUGAUGGGCUUUCAUAUAAAGAUGCCUUUCUAGUUUCUAACUAUAUUUGUUUGUUAACAGUAGACAACAGGUUGCUCUUGAUUAUAUCAUGGAUUUGGCAACCAGAUCGGAGGAUCUACUUUCAACAGUCAUCAAGAAACAUCACUUUAAACAGCAGAAAGGAAAUAUACACUGUUAGGAUUUCGGAGGAGGGACGACAUCUUUCUCAAGUGAGCUGAAACAGUGGGCUGCAUUAUCAGGCAAGCCUUCAUAUCACGGAGAAAAGAAAUAUAACCGAAGAUAUUGCUUAAAUUGUGAAACUGGAUGACAAAGUGCAGGUCUGAAGUGUGAUUCAUACGCAUAGAACGAAUCAAUUAUAAAUUGAAACAGAUGCUAGGCAUCUGCCACAUUAGCUAAAAGCUAUCUACUGAGGAGGAAAUUUGCAAUCUCAAGUAAAUUCCGCUGAGAUUCUGUGCCCAUACCCCACAACAGUAAAUUUUUGAAAAAGGAAAGUUCCUUCCAUAUGUGGCUCAAGGAAUAAUUGAAAAGCAAUUUCUGCCAUAUCCCAUUUGUCUUUUCCAGAGGCAUCUCUAAUUAAAUGAAUAUGGUAACGGUAGCAUCUAUUAUAAAUCUGUGUAAAGCACGGACGGUGAUUAUUGGCACAAGUAGAAAUCCUAAUUAUUUGAGGAAUGGAAUAAAUGUCUGAGCUGAUUGCGUGUUUAUAGCAUUAACAAACGAUAUGAUAAAGAAUGAAAAUGGUAGCCCCAAAAACGUCAGCCAUAAAACACAUGGAACUUUUCUUGCUCCAGAUUAUGGAGGGGGCCUUUGUU